rnacentral:lncRNA from 1 species
AAGAAAUAAGUUACCAACCGUCCCUAGAGCAAGUGGCAAAAGGCUUGGUGGUUGGUACCCGAGACCCAAGUUCGAAUCCUAAUUGAUUCACAUUUCUAGCUAAGUUUAUUUCUAAAUGACAUAAACGAAGCGGAGAGCGUGCUAUCUAUCUCUCUCAAAAAAAAAGAAAUAAGUUAAAUUGAAUUGGAUUUCCUACUUUCAUUUGAGAAGAAAGAUUUCUUCUUAUAACCAUUCACUACAACAAAAAUGGUCUAUAGCGACACUUUUAAAUGUCGGUAUAGGUCAAAAAAACAUCGCUGGCUAAAUUACCGACAUUUUUAAAAAGUGUUGCUAUAUGUGGGGUUGCUAGAUAUAUAGUGACAGUUAAAGAGUGUCGCUAUAAUCUAAAAAGAGUGCUACUAAUUUACCAACACUUAUUUAAACAUUUAGCAGCCGCCGGAGCUCUACUUCGUUGGCUGCGGUAGCAGAGGAGGACGAGAGAGAAGGCCUCUUCGUCUAGGAUUUCAGUGGAUUGAGUGAGGGGAGAAGGGGAGAUGGUAAUCGAUUUUUCUUUUUUUUUUUCUUUUUUGUUUGUAAUCGGGCUGAAUAGGCUGUGUACGUGGGGUAGGUUGAGUAGAGCAACCUUUUAUUUUUUGUUGGAUUGGGCUUUAUAUUUAGGCAUUAGUAGAUUUUUUUAAAAGUUUUGGCAUAAAUGAAACACUUACACAAAAGUAUCCCAAACAUGUGUCCCUAUAACCUAAUUCUGUUGUAGUGAUUAGGGUAAAUAAGAUAAGUUGGAGACCAUUUAAGAGCAAAUAGGAAAAGUAAGAUAAUGUUAAGAACAAAUAAAAAGUAAGUAAUAGUAGAAUAUAUAUUUAAAUAGG